GUUCGGAUAAACAAUGUCCGUCAUCCUCACCCACUGAAGCCGGACAGGACGGAAAUCGGCAGGCGCUGAUCUGAAACCCAAAAGCGUGUACUCGCGACCCUCAAUGUACAAAUAGCAGUGCCAAAUCGGAGGGUGCCAUUGCCACAGCCACACUCAUACGCUCUCGCGUACACGUACACGUACUCCACUCACACUCGCACGUUUGCAGUGUUUUCCUCGUUUCGACAAACAAAACAAAAAAUAUUUAAAUUCUGUGUUUUCAUAAUGCUUUUUGUACUAAUCGGGGACGGGCAAAAUGGCAGAGGAAAAUUUCUGAUGUGCAAUCUUACUUUUCUUCACAACGGGCAGCGGCGGUACAAUUCUUUGCCAAUUUUCAGCCGCUUCUUUUUGGUGCACACAAACGAAAUCACUGCAAAUAACUUUGGAAUGGACGUUUAUUUACACAUGUUCCAACGUCUUGGUUAUUUUGAGCGGCGCGUAUGUUGUUAAAAAAGAAAAACUUUUGCAGGGCAUUUAUGCAGAGUCGCACGCCAUCAUGACCGCGGAUUUACGAACUUAACCCACUUAACCCCCCUCUAUUUAAACAGUUUAACGACUUGAGGUAAAUGGCGAAAAAUAUGGUAAGUUCUUUUUGUAGAUCCAUGCCAACUUUUC